rnacentral:lncRNA from 1 species
GCCAAUUAUCUUACUUUUGUAGCUCAGUUCAUAUUCGCUAUAAAUGAAGCAUAGCAAACCUACCUUUCUAUAGAAAACAAAAAAAAUUAUUAGAUCCAAACCACCGGCCCAAAAUACUUAAGCCCACUUUUUAUUAUUAAGAUACGAGAGUUCUUACAAUCCAAUCAGAAUCAUUUGUAUAAACUCCCAUUGUCAGGUCGGUGAUUUGAGAUUCUGUCCAAACUAUCUCGUUAGGUCGGUGAUUUGAAAUUUUAGAGAGGACUUCUGGAGGAAUAACACUUAACUCUCACACUCUCGGCUGAUAUCCGUCUCUAAUACAUUAGCAAUAAUAACUUGUUAGACCAAACCACUAGUUCAAAAUGUUUAAGCCAAAUUUUUAUUAUUCAGAUGAGAGAAUUAAUUUUUCAUCUGACGUUGAACUAUUGAGAUAUUACAGCAUCAAUCUUCCUCUUUUAUACUCAUUCCGAUGCUUUAGAUUAGGAUUUGUGCCGCAUAAGAAUUCGGAACUGUUCUAUCAAUCAAUCGAGCACGCACUUUAAUUGACUCGAAUUUGCCUGAUGCUACCAUUCAUUUGCUAGCUGUUGCAGUUUUGUAGAUCAAUCUAGUCCGGAACAAUCAAAGUUGGGAGCUAUUCUUAGUAGAGUUUCUACUCCUUGUCAUUAUUGUGACACGCCAAUAGUUUCAUAUUGGAUGAAAAAAAAAAAAUGUGUUGGUAGUUUGGCUUAACAAAUUACUUGUACUAAUGGGUAGAUCGUUACGAUUGAUAUCAAAGUAAGAUUGCCAACUAAAACAGUAAGAAUUAAGGGUGCAUUUGGUUCGCGCUAUCUUUUUAAGAUUUCUAAUAAUCUAAUAGGAAUAAAAAAAUACGACGGUAUUUAGCUAAACGCACAAAGUAAUCUAGUUGGUAAUAUUAGAUUUACUUGGGAAUGAGAUUCAUUCCAAAGUAUUAAUCUCAUUUCUUUGAGAAAGGGGGGUAUUCUCAUAUUAACGGAUUAGAGUAAUCAUAAUAUGUCUAAUUUCUUUCUUGCUUCCUACCCGCCGGCUAGUUAGUAUUAUUUUCUUUUACACUUUAACCUCGUAUCUCUUUCUAAACUUCAACUCUUUUUCUCUCUCUAAACUAAGCUCUCUCUCCCCUUUUUUUUUUCUAAUUUCUCAAUUCUCUCACUCCCUCUAACCUUGAUUUUAUUUCUCUUCAUAUUUCUUUAAUUAUGCUUUUUCUCUCUAACCUAUGUUCUUUCUUCUUUUUUUUCUAAAAGAAUGUUGAAAUUUUUAAUAGCAUUAUCUAAAAUUAAUUAAAAAAAAUUAAUUAAUUGUAUAUUUUUUUAUAAUAUUAAAUAAUAUGACUAAAUAAUAUGACCGUGCGAACCAAACAUAGGAAUACCACAUUCUUAAUAAUAGGAUGAAUAGAAAUAAGAUUCUCGGACAUCUUUUUAUUCCUAGUAAUUUUUCAUAGUGCGAACCAAACGCGUCCUAAAUGCCAUAUUGAAUGAAUUACGUCCCAAUAGUCCAAUAUUGAAUGC